UUCUGAGCUCUUCCCUGGAGGAUAUUGCAAUAUGGUUUCCAUCAACACACUGAAGUGCCCUUCAACAAGGAACUGAACCCAAACUGCUCAAAGUGUGAGUAAUCCAUUUCCCUCAAUUUCGGGUCUUGAGGCUUGCCACUAAGGGCCACGGGAUCAAUAUUUGCCAAGUUUAAACCACAGGAUUAUCCGUCUGUCAGGGCUCGCAACAGAAGCUCUCAACUGUGACAUAAAUCUUGGACUGUCCUCCACCAUUUGAGAAGGAUUCCAGUUCUGAAGACCACGCAGCAUCCUGACAAAAGAGAGUAUUGUUACAGUGCAUACCACCAGUUCACCGUCCGGCAACACGCACGUAUGGGAGCCGGAAACGGGGUGCCAAUACCGAGCUGCUGUGUUUGGUGGAUGGAAUUUGGGUACCUCCCAAUGAGAAGCUCAACCAUUCGUUGACUUACCCUUUCCUUCAAACCAACAUACCUGGAUUUUACCCCUGUGGGGCCGCAUCUUACCCCUGUGAUGAGUCCUUGAAGGAGCCACCUGCACUGAAGCACUGAUGUAGUCGUCGACAUGAAUUACCUGAUCCAGCCCAGAUUUGGGCUGGCAAUCUCUGCACUCAGCUUCCAGAGACUUCCAUCACAAGCAUAUUCAUGGCCAGUGCAAAUGGGGACACAGACAUUAAAAUUCAUCCCUUGCUUUCCUUCAUUGG